ACACCCUCAAGCACUGCUUGGUGUUGGGCGUCUGUCCCCGCCUCUGCGCGGUGACUCGCCCCAAAUCCAUUGGCAGCGGUCCUUGCCUCCUCUUGCGCAGCACAUUGCGCUUCUCGGGGGGCGUGGUCCGCAUCCACGAAGCAAAAUUACCGU
rnacentral:misc_RNA from 1 species